ensembl:snRNA U6 U6 spliceosomal RNA
GUGCUGGCCCCUGGCAGCACAUAUACUAAAAUUAGAGUGAUAUAGAGAAGAUUAGCAUGGCCCCCAUGCAAGGAUGAUACACAAAUCCAUAUUUUAAGUGUUCCAUAUUUUA